rnacentral:rRNA from 17 species
CUGGAGCAGGUCCCAAGGGUAUGGCUGUUCGCCAUUUAAAGAGGUACGUGAGCUGGGUUUAGAACGUCGUGAGACAGUUCGGUCCCUAUCUGCCGUGGACGUUGGAAAAUUGAGAAGAGCUGCUCCUAGUACGAGAGGACCGGAGUGGACGAACCCCUGGUGUUCGGGUUGUGAUGCCAAUCGCAUUGCCCGGUAGCUACGUUCGGACAGGAUAACCGCUGAAAGCAUCUAAGCGGGAAGCCCCCUUCAAGAUGAGUUUUCCCUGAGACUUCGAGUCUCCUAAAGGGCCCAGGAAGACUACCUGGUUGAUAGGCAGGGUGUGUAAGCGCUGCGAGGCGUUGAGCUAACCUGUACUAAUUGCCCGUGCGGCUUGGC